rnacentral:rRNA from 1 species
AAAUGACUGGCGGCAGCUUACCAUGCAAGUCGAACGAGGUUAGGGAGCUUGCUCCUGAUACCUAGUGGCGAACGGGUGAGUAAUGCUUAGGAAUCUGCCUAGUAGUGGGGGAUAACUAUCCGAAAGGAUAGCUAAUACCGCAUACGACCUACGGGUGAAAGGGGGCUUUUAGCUCUCGCUAUUAGAUGAGCCUAAGUCGGAUUGGCUAGUUGGUGGGGUAAAGGCCUACCAAGGCGACGAUCUGUAGCUGGUCUGAGAGGAUGAUCAGCCACACUGGGACUGAGACACGGCCCAGACUCCUACGGGAGGCAGCAGUGGGGAAUAUUGGACAAUGGGCGAAAGCCUGAUCCAGCCAUGCCGCGUGUGUGAAGAAGGCCUUUUGGUUGUAAAGCACUUUAAGUAGGGAGGAAAAGCUUGUGGUUAAUAACCCACAAGCCCUGACGUUACCUACAGAAUAAGCACCGGCUAACUCUGUGCCAGCAGCCGCGGUAAU